rnacentral:rRNA from 1 species
CAGCAGCCGCGGUAAUACGUAGGUGGCAAGCGUUGUCCGGAAUUAUUGGGCGUAAAGGGCUCGCAAGCGGUUUCUUAAGUCUGAUGUGAAAGCCCCCGGCUCAACCGGGGAGGGUCAUUGGAAACUGGGAAACUUGAGUGCAGAAGAGGAGAGUGGAAUUCCACGUGUAGCGGUGAAAUGCGUAGAGAUGUGGAGGAACACCAGUGGCGAAGGCGACUCUCUGGUCUGUAACUGACGCUGAGGAGCGAAAGCGUGGGGAGCGAACAGGAUUAGAGACCCCCGUAGUCCCUGUCUCUUAUAC